rnacentral:snRNA from 1 species
UGGGGCAUGGCUCUAAAAAAGGCAAAAAAAAAAAAAAGCAGAGAUUAGCAUGACCCAUGCAUAAGGAUGACAGGCAAAUUCAUGAAGUAUUUCAUAUAUUU